rnacentral:lncRNA from 1 species
CUUCAUCAACGACAUCUUCGAGAAGCUCGCUCAGGAGUCGUCGAGGCUUGCGAGGUACAACAAGAAGCCGACGAUUACUUCGAGGGAGAUCCAGACGGCGGUGAGGCUUGUGCUUCCUGGUGAGCUGGCCAAGCACGCUGUGUCGGAGGGGACCAAGGCGGUGACCAAGUUUACGAGCUCUUGAAGGAUCUAGGGGUUGCGCCGAGUGGGUUCUGUUUGGCUUGGCUAUGCGUGGUUCUUAG